AAACUUUGCAAUACACGAAAGUGUGACAGGGCUAUCCCGAGUGCCAUCCGCUGAGGAAGGCUUUUACCCAGUGCUGGGGGAAUAAGGGAGGGCAAGUCUGGUGUCAGCCGCCGCGGUAAUACCAGCUCUCCGAGUGGUGUGGAUGUUUAUUGGGCCUAAAGCAUCCGUAGCUGGCUAAGUUAGUCCCUUGUUAAAUCCACCGAAUUAAUCGUUGGAUUGCGGGGGAUACUGCUUAGCUAGGGGACGAGAGAGGCAGACGGUAUUUCC
rnacentral:rRNA from 1 species